GAUGCAUUCGAUGGUAUAUAUCUACCUUCCUUUGGAACCUAUUUUGUCAUAAAUUCAUCAUAUAGAGUUUCUCUACUAAUGAGGUAGCGCAUCCCUCCUUCGAUGGGAUCGCUCUCCUGUCUUUUCCUUCUCUCACUCUCGGCGGUCGGCGCAAGGCCAACCCACCCCUCUGCGAGGUCUGGAUGGAUGAUUGUCGACUACUUCUGAUCGAAUUUCAGGAAGAACGGAGCGGCGAAAAAGUGCUACAUGACGUACCAUCCCAUGGUAGAGAUUGACGACGUCUUCGAGGCUGACUUUCAGAAGUUCAAGAACGAGUUAUCGAAGUUUAAGUAGGAGGAUGAUCGAUCAUCGACGUCAAGCCCUUUACCUUUCCAUCUAAAAGUUUCUUUGCCCAUGCUAUCCAAAUCAAAACGAUCGAAUUUUCACCAUUCUGUUCUCCAAAAGAUGUGAUUUUUCCUGAAUUUUGAAAAAUUGAGUGUUAGAAGUCUCAAAAACGAAGACGAUCAGCUUAUUAUCUUAACGUUUGAAUCGUUUCUUUUAUUUUGAUUUAAUCUUUUCUGUUUUAUUUGGUCGGCGGGGAGCAGACGAAGGCUGCUUAGAAGAACGGGUAGGCGACCUCUAGAAAUUAAAGUCUCGAAAAUGGAGGAGAAAGUGGUGGUCCUGAGGGCUGAUGAUGGCGGAAGACAGCUUUAUUAGUUUGGUGUCGCUUUUAACCUUAUAUGUAUUUAUUUACUAGUUCCUCAUAAGAAGAUGAUCUACUUUUCUUCUUUUUUUUGACUAUUUAAUUAAAUUCUGCAGCAUGGGCCGGGUUACUUGUUGUGGUGCAUGUUACAAAAUGUUAAAUCUAUUCUAGUAGGGGACAUGAAAGAAACUCAAACUUGAUAA